rnacentral:misc_RNA from 1 species
CCCUCACAUCCCUUUAUCCUUCUGAAUAGAAAUUUUGUAUAAAUUUUGGAUUCAACAUCUGCUUUCAUAGUUGGAUCAAUGCCUUCCGCUGGCUCUCCACAAUGGCAAGAGAAGGCUAAUGUUUUCUUUUCUUCCUCAGGAGCAAAGCUCAAAGAAGCGGAAAGCUGGAACAUUUGUGGGAGAAGUUGCUAAGGAUGCAAAAGGUAAUGUCACUGAUGUAGCAGAACGGUUUGGGUCAGCAGUUAAAAGUCGAUGGGCAUUUCUUCGGGAGCCAGCAACCAGGCAUGUUUUGCAGGAACAUUUGAUAACUGCAGCUGCUACAACUGGCAUGUUCUUGAGGAAGGGCAUGUCAGAUACAAAGGAGAAAGUUGCUGUUGGUAAGACAAAAGUUGAAGAGGUGGCAAAAAAGACCGCUCUAAAGAGUAAGACCAUUUUGACUGAUAUUGAAAGAUGGCAAAAGGGAGUUGCGAGCACUGAUGUAUUUGGAGUUCCAAUUGAGGUCACUGUACAACGACAACAGUCCAGCAGGCUUGUUCCCCAUAUUUUGGUCAAAUGUGCAGAUUAUCUUAUAUUAUCAGGAUUAAACUCAAUGUACUUGUUUAAAGAGGAAGGAGAUAUAAGAGUUAUUCAGCAAUUGUUUUCUUUAUACAACCACCAAGAUUCCAAUGCUUCAUUGCCAGAAGGUGUGAAUCCACUUGAUGUGGCAGCUCUGAUAAAAUAUUACCUUGCAAGCCUUCCGGAACCCCUAACAACAUUUGAGCUCUACAAUGGGAUUAAAAGUGCUCAUUCUAGCAUACAUGCAGUGAAAAACAUCCUGAAGAAACUUCCUACUGUAAACUAUAUGACUUUGGAAUUAAUCACUGCGCUGCUGCUCUAUGUCAGCCAGAAGUCAUCUCUUAACAAGAUGGAUGCGCGAAGCCUUGCCAUGGAAAUAGCCCCUGUCAUUAUGUGGCAGAAAGAGCAGAAGCCAGAUUCUUACAGGCAAUAUUGGAGUCCCACAUCAAAAAGUCCUUCCAAGAAGAGCAUGGCUCCAGCACCUACUUACAGUGCAUGGGACAUGCUUUCUGAAGAAGGUGAAGGCACGGAUGUUUCAUCUCCCAUUCCCCUGGAUGAUGAUGGUACACCAGUGGAUUUUGGCGCUAUUGAGGUUGUUCAAUGCCUCAUAGAACAGCACAAUACAAUUUUCACGGAUGCAAAUGAGACGGUUUGGAGGUGACUUGAAAUUUCUGAGAACACCUGUUUCCAGGAUUUUCCUCAUGUGACUUAUUAUCCAUCCAGUUGGACAUUGAGUGUAGUAUGCUUGAUGUAGUCAGGUUAAUCAUUGCUCAAUAGCCGUUAUUACAGUUUUAGCCAACCCUGAGACUAUUGGAUGUGGUUCUGUAAAUGUUUGGGUUAGGAAGUUUUAUGUUAAAAACUAUUAGUAUAUGAAAGAGCAUUAUUUUGCCCAAUCAAAUUUGUUUGGGAAAGGAAGAUCAAUAAGAUAUGUAAUGUUCAACAAAAAACUUCCUAACC